AACGAACGCUGGCGGCAUGCCUAACACAUGCAAGUCGAACGAAGCCUUCGGGCUUAGUGGCGCACGGGUGCGUAACGCGUGGGAAUCUGCCCCUUGCUUCGGAAUAACAGUUAGAAAUGACUGCUAAUACCGGAUGAAGUCUUCGGACCAAAGAUUUAUCGGCAAGGGAUGAGCCCGCGUAGGAUUAGGUAGUUGGUGGGGUAAAGGCCUACCAAGCCGACGAUCCUUAGCUGGUCUGAGAGGAUGAUCAGCCACACUGGGACUGAGACACGGCCCAGACUCCUACGGGAGGCAGCAGUGGGGAAUAUUGGACAAUGGACGCAAGUCUGAGCCAGCAAUGCCGCGUGAGUGAUGAAGGCCUUAGGGUUGUAAAGCUCUUUUACCAGGGAUGAUAAUGACAGUACCUGGAGAAUAAGCUCCGGCUAACUCCGUG
rnacentral:rRNA from 1 species